UACAGAGGUCCCGAGCGUUGUUCGGAUUCAUUGGGCGUAAAGGGUGCGUAGGCGGCGGGCAAGUCUGAUGUGAAAUCCUGGGCUCAACCCUGGAACUGCAUUGGAUACUGCCUUGCUAGAGUACUGGAGAGGAAACUGGAAUUACGGUGUAGCAGUGAAAUGCGUAGAGAUCGUAAGGAAGACCAGUGGCGAAGGCGGGUCUCUGGGCCGAUAUUGACGCUGAGGAGCGAAAGCGUGGGAGCAAACAGG
rnacentral:rRNA from 1 species